rnacentral:rRNA from 1 species
CCUUCGGUUCRGAAUAGCCUCGGGAAACUGGGAGUAAUAYYSSMMUACGGUCUACGGACGAAAGAUUUAUCGCCGAAGGAUUAGCCCGCGUUGGAUUAGGUAGUUGGUGGGGUAAUGGYCUACCAAGCCGACGAUCCAUAGCUGGUUUGAGAGGAUGACCAGCCACACUGGGACUGAKAYWYKGYCCAGACUCCUACGGGAGGCAGYWKUGGGGAAUCUUAGACAAUGGGGGAAACCCUGAUCUAGCCAUGCCGCGUGAUCGAUGAAGGCCUUAGGGUUGUAAAGCUCUUUCAGGGGGGAAGGUAAUGACGGUACCCCCAGAAGAAGCCCCGGCUAACUCCGUGCCAGCAGCCGCGGUAAUACGGAGGGGGCUAGCGUUAUUCGGAAUUACUGGGCGUAAAAGCGCACGUARGCGGGUCKGAAAGUCARAGGUGAAAUCCCAGGGCUCA